UACGUAGGGUGCAAGCGUUAAUCGGAAUUACUGGGCGUAAAGCGUGCGCAGGCGGUUAUGUAAGACAGGUGUGAAAUCCCCGGGCUUAACCUGGGAACUGCAUUUGUGACUGCAUAGCUAGAGUAUGGUAGAGGUUGGUGGAACUGCGAGUGUAGAGGUGAAAUUCGUAGAUAUUCGCAAGAACACCAGUGGCGAAGGCGGUUGCCUGGAGCUUUGCUGACGCUGAGGCGCGAAAGCGUGGGGAGCGAGUCCGG
rnacentral:rRNA from 1 species